rnacentral:lncRNA from 1 species
AAGUCAACAGAGACAGAUGAACAAGGAGCAAUGGAAAUCAAUCAGAAGAGAGACAGCUAAAAUUAGAAAGAAACCAAUUUUUCUUCAGGUGAUUACAUGGCCUCUCCCAAUCUCAUGACCACCACAUUGGCAGAUAUCAUGGCCAUUAUUCCAGAAGAUCACAUAGCUGAUUCAGGAGAGCUCCUAUUCACUCAGAUAGAUCUCAUGUCUACUCAGGUAGAACUAAUAGCUCUACAGAUAGACCACACCAUGACCUCUCAGAAAGUCCACAACUCUCAGACCACUUCAUAACUACUCAGGUAGACCACAUCAUAACCAUACAGUUAGGCUUCAACAUGGCCACUCAGAUAGAUUGCAUCUUAAGCAUACAGUGAGAGUUCUUCCCAGAAACUCAAGGAUAGCUCAUCCUGGCAAUACAGAGAGAGAGAUAAUCAAGUCCAAAGAGGGAGAGCUCAUGAUAACCAUACAUAGUUAGCUCAACUUAUUAUGACAGCCCAUUUCAUCAUGACCACUCAGGGAGAGCUUAUCAUGGUCAUGCAGGGAAAGCUCAAAACAACUAGUCAUGGAGAGCUCAUAACAACCAGUCAUGGAGAGAUCAUAACAUCCAGUCACAGAGAGGUCAUGACAACCAGACAUGGAGAGGUCAUAAUAAUCAUUCAUGGAGUGCUUGUAACAUCUGGUCACAGAGAGAUCAUUAUGACCGUUCAUUGAGAUCUAGUACCAUCCAGUCAUGGAUGCCUCAUGAAGCAGAAAGAUACCAUGGUUGAAGAGGAAGAAAUGGACCAAGGGAUGCAUCACCACCAGGAACUAAGACAGAAAUU